rnacentral:rRNA from 1 species
GACGGGGGGGCAAGUGUUCUUCGGAAUGACUGGGCGUAAAGGGCACGUAGGCGGUGAAUCGGGUUUGAAAGUGAAAGUCGCCAAAAAGUGGCGGAAUGCUCUCCGAAACCAAUUCACUUGAGUGAGACAGAGGAGAGUGGAAUUUCGUGUGGUAGGGGUGAAAUCCGUAGAUCUACGAAAGGAACGCCAAAAGCGAAGGCAGCUCGUCUGG